GUAGCGCCUGCCCUUCGGGGCGGGCGAGGAUUGAAAC
rfam:Geobacter pickeringii strain G13, complete genome.